CCUUUUUUUUUUUUUUUUUUUCUUUUCUUCCCUCUAAAUAAAUGGAAAGCAGAGCUGUCGCUGAUGGAGAUGGAUGAGGCAGGGCUGGCAGCGCCGCAGCUCUGCUCCGGCGUGGCCAUGGCACCGAUGGCAUAAGUGACCUUUCCCAGGCGGUGGGAGAGGGGAUUCCCCCCCCCGCCCCAGCGUGCUCCUGCUCGGAAUUCAUUUUAAAUAGAAGGAGUAUUAUUUUUUAUUUUCCUUCCCCCCUCCCAUUUCUCCUUCACUUUUUUGUUUUGGUUUUGUUGUUUUGUUUUGUUGUUGUUUUUUUUUUUUUUUCCCGAAGCUUCCUCAUGAUCUUUUUUUUUUUUCCUGUGUAUGUUUUGAAUUGCAUUUUAAAAUUGCCCAGCUGGAGACAAGGCUUGAUUAGAGCUGGAACAAUAGCUCCCUUUUAUUAAUAACUGGAAGGAUUUACAAUCGUACAGCACCUUCCUUGGAAAGCUUUCCAAACCAUUUGCAAACACUCACAAAUUUCAGAUUGUGCAGCCCUUGGCUGUGAGGUGGUCCCUAAGUGACCUCCUGCAGCGCUGCAUCCGUUGCAGUUCCAGCACAGCCUUGCACUGGAGUACUGAUAUGUGUCCCUGCGAGCCAGAGUGACCUUGCUGGGGGUACUGGGCCCACCCAGCGAUUCAGGGAAACAAUGUAUUGUUUAUGUAGCCCCUCUCCACAGCAGAUCCCUAGAAACCAUGCAGGGAUCCGGGAGUCACCCAGGCAGUGGGAUCUGGCCUUGCCAGAAGCAUGAGGGAUGAGGCUCCAGCCACGUCUGCGUGUGUCACACACGGGCCGCACAAACUCACAGUGUU